GCCUUGGUGGCUUAGUUGGUUAAAGCGUGAGUCUCAUAUUGUGUGUUAUCUCAAGGUCGUGGGUUCGACUCCCUCCCGAGGCA